UGUCGUCCUUUCGAUUUCUUUUUGAAAAUACAAUACUGGAUCCAAGCUGGUUUCGGAAAAGAUCCCCAUCUGAAUCGCACCACACUGAACCAAGCCAUUUUUAGAUGGAAGAGGAAGAUAUUUUCUCUUGGAUUUCCCAUUCUAUCGCAUUAGACUAACCAGAUUGACAUGUUUUGACCGAAAUGACCAUGGCUCAACAGGAAAUAUCUGGAACCUACAAGUGGAUUUUGGAAUUUGGACCCUUUUCAAAUUAAAUUAUGGUCAGAGAUCCAACAGAUAUAAUUGAUAGUUUCAAAAGCUAGGAAUAUUAAACCAAGUUCAAAAUGCAUCGUCUUUAAUACUCGCAAAUUAUCAAGACUUAAAUUCAGUCUGCACAGUGGAUUGAAAGUGAAAGGUUUAUGAUCUCUCCAUAUACCAGACAAGUGGUUUCAAAGAAACGAGGGCAAAAUCAUGUGUAUUUAACAUGUGUAAUCCGUGAUAGAAGAAAAUAACCAUGAAGAUUUCUUCUUAUUAAACUAUGGAAUCAAUGUUAAUUUGGAGGAUUUUUUUUUGUGCAAUGACAGCAAGAACUUGUGAGAUAACAUCCGUUUGCUCCAGUUUACUUGUACUUAAAUACUUGGGUGAAAUAGAACGUCAUAUAAAGCAAACAAAGAUCAACUAAUCUGCAUUUGAUUCUACAGCAGCGCACUGUGCAAAGAAUACAUCUGAUGUCAUCUAUUUGAAUAACGAAACUCCAUCUGUGGAAUGAAUGGCCUUUUCAGUUCCAGCUACAAACUCUAUAUACAAAGGAUCUCUGGAUGCACAGGAAAGAACGGUACUGAAGUGAUUUCGAUAUUAACAGGAGUUGGCCGAAAUGAUAGCGGUAAAACGGAUGGCAUUCAGAAUCUUCAUCAAGCGAAUAUUAGAACUCGGUGCCUUUAAAAGGAAAUAUUGGAUGGCGAUCCAACAGAUGCAGCUUGUGUCUUUGGUCUGAUAUUAGAGCAAACCCAAAAUGAGUAUUUUGUGCCAAUAUAUUAUCAAUGAUAUGCAUGGUGGAAAUGUAAAUGUAUAUGUAUAUGUAGUUAACAUUACUUGAGGAUAUCAAUACAUCUCUGAAAUGCUUUGUUCUUCUAUUUUAAGGUGUUGAAUAUUUAUAUAUUUUUGGAGAAUUCUUUCAAUCAAUGCGUAAUUGUUCUUGAACUUGGAAUUCUUGGAACUUGGAAAAGGUUGAAGUGCAUGGAAUGUAAAUCGUUCAAAGCCUGUGUUUGGCAUAUGAAUCAAUAUUUCUUAACUGUUAUGGAAAUUGUUAUGCAUAU